UGCAGCCUAAUUAGCAGGCGGCGCCUGCGGGGAGCAGGAAGCAGACGUCUGAGCCAGCCCUUCCCGAGCGGGGGAGAGUGGAGGGCUGAUGCGGCGCACAGCUAGCAGGUGGAGGGAAGCACAGACCCUCCCUCUCGGAGGAGCUUGAGGCUCUGCCCUGGGUUGCUUCUUGAGGACCGCGGUUGAACGAGCCAAGUCUGAGCAUCGCAGAAUCCUGACACACCUGGAAAGGACCUACGGGAUGAUCUAGCCCACCCCUGCAUCAUGCAUGUGAGCACCAAGGCUCAGAGAAGUUGACUAUUGUGCCUGAGAUCACACAGUUAUUAGUGGAGGGGCUAGGCCCGGAACCCAGGCUUUUCUGACACCCAGCUCCGUGCUCAGUGCUCAGUCCACCAGCCCACGCUCCUCCAUCCGCAUGUCCAGCCC